rnacentral:lncRNA from 1 species
UUUUUAUUUUUCUUGGGUAUAUGCUUAGGAAUGGAAUUUCUGGGUAAUAUAGUUAAUUCUAUAUGUUUUCUACUUAAACAUUUUUAUUUACUUAUGAUUUAAUUUAUUUACUUGAUACAGAGAGAGAAGAGUGUGCACAAGCAGGGGAACAGCAGGCAGAGGGAGAGGGAGAAGCAGACUCCCCUUUGUGCAGGGUGCCUGACUCCACGGGGCUUGAUCCCAGGACUCUGGGAUCAUGACCUGAGCUGAAGGUAGGCACAACUGACUGAGCCAUCCAGGAGCCCCUUUUUAUUUUUUAUGUAAAAACAUAUAUAUAUAUAUAUAUAUAUAUAUAUAUAUAUAUAUAUAUUUUUUUUUUUUUUUUUAGGAGAAAGAACGUAUAUGCGCAUGAGCUGGGGAGAGGGUCAGAGGGAGAGAGGGAGAGAGAGAGAGAGAGAGAACCUUAAGCAGGCUUCAUGCCCAGCAUGGAGCCCCAUGUGGGGCUUGAUCUCAUGACCCUGAGAUUAUGACCUUGGUGAAACCAAGAGUCAGAUGCUCAACUGACUGAGCCACCCAAGCACCCCUAUGUUUAACUUUGUAAGGAAUUGCCAGGCUGUUUUCCAAAGUGGAUGCAUCAUUUCACAUUCCCACCAACAGUAUAUGAAGGUUCCAAUUUCUCAGAUCCUUGCAAACACUUGUUAUUGCCCGUCUUUCCUAUGAUAGCCAUUCUCGUGAGUGGCUAUUAUAAAGUGGGACACUUCAUAAUUUUUUUUUACACUUCAUAAUUUUUAACAUAUGUCUUUAAGAACUGUUUUCUGAUUACAGAAGUCAUACAGAUUGACAAGCACAAUUUCUGCGUGCACAUGCACUGAUUUGAUUCCAGCUUCUAGGCCACUGUACCAUCUUCAUUUUGGCACAGUUAUGUUGUCCAAUCUUACAAAAAGAUGGAGGCUCAGGGAUGCUAAGCAGCUCUAAGGCUGGGACUUGACCCUAGGUGUGUCAAUAAGCUUCUGGUUUUCACCACAGUGUUAUUCUGGUAUGAUGGGUACUAUGUGCACACAUACACGUGUGAGGAUCAAAUGGGAUAAUGAAGUGAACUUUAUGAAUUUAUAGCAUCUAGUAAUGAAGAGUAAGAUGUUAAAGGGACAUGACUUUUGGAUUAUAUAAGCAGGCGACAUGUUAUCUUUUGAGAGAUUAAGGAACAGAGCGGUGACUUCUGUGGCCACAGAGAAAUUUAAAGGAAGACCUGAGAUUAAAGAGCCUCACACUAGUUUGGAUAAACUGGAGUCUUUAUCACCCCAUUUGGAGAAUGAGGACUUUAAUCAUCUUAGAGUUAUGGUCAUAAAUAGCAUCAAAACAUGUGCUAAACGUGUUCACCUUUAGGUCUGUGCUUUAGAGAGAAUGAGGCCAGUUUCUCCUGAAUUAUUGUAUCAUCUGAAUGCAGCAGGAUUACCUUAUUUUGGUUUUGUGAUUAUUUUCUAACGCACAUAAAACAGUUCCUUUCUUUUAUUCUUUAUAGUGGAGGAAAAAUUAUUUUGCUAUAAUUAAAAUUGAGUUUUGGCCACAAUCAUGAGCAGUUCUAGAAAUUAAAACUCCUCAUGCUCUAGUUAAAUAUUAUUAGAAAAAAAGUUCCUGCUUGCUACAGUCCCUUCUCUAGAAAUCUGUUCUGUGGAACUACACACAUAAUGACAAUAUCUUUAUCUAGACUCUUUCCAGUUUUCAAGUUCGCAUAUGUGACUCAAACAGAAGAUUUCAAGGAAGCUGAUCCUCUAAGUAACUACUUUGUGGACCUUGCUAAAGGUGCCGUAUUUUUGCACAUCGUUUCCUGAAGAGAACUAGACAAAAGAUCCUCCAACUUCAAGAAUCCUAACAAAAGGGGCAGGCUAGUUUGGGAUGGGAUAGACUUGAUUCAGGAAUGAGAGCUACAGACUAGAAUGCUCAUUUUUUGAAAAAAUAUGUGUAUUAUUGGGGUCCCAGGAUGGCUCAGUCAUCUGCCUUCGGCUCAGGUCAUGAUCUCGGGGUCCUGGAUGGAGCCCUGCAUCUGCUCCCUGCUCAGCCAGAAGUCUGCUCCUCCCUCUUGCACCCCCCACCCCCAGUGCACAUGCACUCUCUGUCAAAUAAAUAAAGUCUUAAAAAAAUGUGUAUUUUCAGCAAAGGAUCCUCAUUGUCUCAAUCUUUACCUUGCACUUGGCAGCCUGUAUUUGGAGGGUUUCUCCUUUCAUGGGGUACAGGGUGGGGCUCUGGGUGGGGUGGAUGCAGAUAAGAUAACAGUUCCAGUUUUACCACUCUUAUGAAUUUUGUGCUAGGGUUGAAGUGCUCAGGAGGGAAAAAGGAGCCCUGUUUCUGUGGAUUGUACAAAGAAGAGGGAAGGAGGAAAUGGUAGGAGGAUGAUUUCUCUUAAAAGGUGCUCUUGUGGCUGCAUUUCCUCUAAACCCAACAUUUGGUGUCCACUUUGAGUGAAAUGCAUCUUUCUUGGUCAGGCAUAUAUGGAAAGAUCAAGAAGGAUUUUUUUUCCUAAACCAGCAGAAGGUCUGGCAGGAAAGCAGGGAGAAUUGACUCUGUUGAUGUAUCCUCAAUAAGUGACAGUAUUGAUCUCUGAAAUCAUUAAGCUUUGGUAUUUUGAUCUGUCCAAAAAGGUGGAGGGAGUUCUUUUACAUGAAAAAAAAAAUCUGCUGGAAGAUUAUAAACUAAUUCUGAAUUUCUAAGUAGCAUUUGACCUUCACAGGCACAUCAGUAAUGUCACUGCAUAAAAAGCAGCCAGGGUCAUCUAACCUAGUAUGGAGGCAUCUACACUGAGGAAAGAGUCUGCUGGUUAUGAGGGUGGGCUCUGCAGUCACACAGAACUUGACCGAGUCCCAGCUCUGUCACCUUGAACAACUUGCUUAACCUCUCUGAGCCACCCCUUUAAGUUAGGUGAUGUAUAUAAGUCACUUUGAGUACCUGACACAUAGGUGCUCAGUAAAUGGUAGCUAUUCCUGCUUGCCUGACAAAGAGAUUUUUAACUACGGAUAUGGGGCGCCUUGCCCUUCCAACUCAUCCUAAGACAGGUAUCAUGUCAUUUGUAUUUUAUUUGGCCUUUGUUUUUGAGUGGCUACUGUUGUCUGGUAGUGUGCCCUGAGGAGUCAAAGAAGCCUGACCCAGAGUCCUUGAGCUUGAUGGAAAGAAAAUCUACGUGAUAUCAUCAGUUGAGGGAAAUGGGAAGGAGAGCCAAUCAAUGGGGUUGGCAAUGGGACAGCAAUUUCAGAUGGGUUGAGUUUAAAGGGGUUUGGGAAUAUGCAAGUGGC